UUAAAGAAAUGAAACAGCAUAUCCAUCCAUUCUUGGAUUAAAUCUAUGGGAUUUUACUUAUUCGCCCCCACAGGCACACCUGAGCUACUAAAAAGGGGAAAGAAAGAAAGGGGAGGGAAGAAGAUUAGAGCAGAACACUGCCUGCAGUGUCAUCAUUUCCUCCCAACAGGAUCAAAAACUUCAAAAAUUUGGAAAUAAUCCAAUUACUCCUGACUUACCUUAUAAAUGAGAUAUGAAAAUACAUGCAAAGAAGUGGUUCUAGGAGCAAAUGCUAUACAAGUACCUCCAUUAAAAUAUACCAAGAGGUGAGAUCUAGCAAAUGAAAGUUUUCUU